UACGAAGGGGGCUAGCGUUGCUCGGAAUCACUGGGCGUAAAGCGCACGUAGGCGGAUUGUUAAGUCAGGGGUGAAAUCCUGGAGCUCAACUCCAGAACUGCCUUUGAUACUGGCGAUCUUGAGUCCGGGAGAGGUGAGUGGAACUCCGAGUGUAGAGGUGAAAUUCGUAGAUAUUCGGAAGAACACCAGUGGCGAAGGCGGCUCACUGGCCCGGUACUGACGCUGAGGCGCGAAAGCUAGGGGAGCAAACGGG
rnacentral:rRNA from 1 species